rnacentral:rRNA from 1 species
AACGAACGCUGGCGGCAGGCCUAACACAUGCAAGUCGAACGAAGUCUUCGGACUUAGUGGCGCACGGGUGAGUAACACGUGGGAAUAUACCUUACGCUGGGGGAUAACAUCGGGAAACUGAUGCUAAUACCGCAUACGCCCUUCGGGGGAAAGAUUUAUCGGCGAAAGAUUAGCCCGCGUCCGAUUAGCUAGUUGGUGAGGUAAUGGCUCACCAAGGCUCCGAUCGGUAGCUGGUCUGAGAGGAUGACCAGCCACACUGGGACUGAGACACGGCCCAGACUCCUACGGGAGGUAGCAGUGGGGAAUAUUGGACAAUGGGCGCAAGCCUGAUCCAGCCAUGCCGCGUGAGUGAUGAAGGCCUUAGGGUUGUAAAGCUCUUUCACCCACGACGAUGAUGACGGUAGUGGGAGAAGAAGCCCCGGCUAACUUCGUG